UUAUUUACGUUGCAAAUAGGUACGUGAAAAUUGCGUUAUCUGUCACUUCGCGGGGGGGUUGGAGUAUACUGCACGAUCCAUUGGCAAUAAGGGCAUCCUCAAUUGGUUUUGUUUAACUAAUGCUUGAGAUUACUUAAAUCGUAGAAGUUGCAUCGGAUAGAGAUAAUCAGAUACAUUAGAAUGUUGGCAAGUUUUCCCGAGAAGCGUUCGAGCCUGUCCAGGCAAAUUGAGAACAAAUGAGGCAACAACGCUUUGAAUGAAUGAAUUGAAACUAUCCCUUAUUCUACACAUAAAUCUUCAUUAUAAUAAAACUAAAUUGUGACUCUUGCUGCUUUGCGGAAUACGUUUUAUAUGUCCA